UCGUCACACUAUCAUUAACUGAAUCCAUAGGUUAAUGAGGCGAACCGGGGGAACUGAAACAUCUAAGUACCCCGAGGAAAAGAAAUCAACCGAGAUUCCCCCAGUAGCGGCGAGCGAACGGGGAGGAGCCCAGAGCCUGAAUCAGCAUGUGUGUUAGUGGAAGCGUCUGGAAAGGCGCGCGAUACAGGGUGACAGCCCCGUACACAAAAGCGCAUGUGUUGUGAGCUCGAUGAGUAGGGCGGGACACGUGGUAUCCUGUCUGAAUAUGGGGGGACCAUCCUCCAAGGCUAAAUACUCCUGACUGACCGAUAGUGAACCAGUACCGUGAGGGAAAGGCGAAAAGAACCCCGGCGAGGGGAGUGAAAAAGAACCUGAAACCGUGUACGUACAAGCAGUGGGAGCACAGGUUUACCUGUGUGACUGCGUACCUUUUGUAUAAUGGGUCAGCGACUUAUAUUCUGUAGCAAGGUUAACCGAAUAGGGGAGCCGGAGGGAAACCGAGUCUUAAUUGGGCGUUAAGUUGCAGGGUAUAGACCCGAAACCCGGUGAUCUAGCCAUGGGCAGGUUGAAGGUUGGGUAACACUAACUGGAGGACCGAACCGACUAAUGUUGAAAAAUUAGCGGAUGACCUGUGGCUGGGGGUGAAAGGCCAAUCAAACCGGGAGAUAGCUGGUUCUCCCCGAAAGCUAUUUAGGUAGCGCCUCGUGAAUUCAUCUCCGGGGGUAGAGCACUGUUUCGGCUAGGGGGCCAUCCCGGCUUACCAACCCGAUGCAAACUGCGAAUACCGGAGAAUGUUAUCACGGGAGACACACGGCGGGUGCUAACGUCCGUCGUGAAGAGGGAAACAACCCAGACCGCCAGCUAAGGUCCCAAAGUCAUGGUUAAGUGGGAAACGAUGUGGGAAGGCCCAGACAGCCAGGAUGUUGGCUUAGAAGCAGCCAUCAUUUAAAGAAAGCGUAAUAGCUCACUGGUCGAGUCGGCCUGCGCGGAAGAUGUAACGGGGCUAAACCAUGCACCGAAGCUGCGGCAGCGA
rnacentral:rRNA from 1 species